ACCAUAAUGGGCUGCGAGACGCGAGUCUCUCUAAAAAAAGAUAAUCCUGAUUCCUAUUUGAUUUUUCGUCUUACACAAAAAAAUCAACACACAUCAGUCUCAGUAUAACAGAUUUUGCGAAUUAUCAGCGAGGAAGAUCAUCCACCUCUCACGCGUGAUUUGAGUUUCAUCAUCGUGUGUUUGUUUUGAUGGGAGGGAGAGACGAAGGAAAAUUGAAUUAAGUUUCCGUUUGCUUUGGCUUUGGUUGCUGACCAACCCAAAACCAAGAUUCGAACAUCAGUCCCAACGAUUGAGAAGCAGAAACCGUACCGUUCUAACUAUUUCGUCAUUCAGCAUACCUAGGUUUCAGAACACAUUGAAAUUUAGGAAUGGUACUGUCACCAUCAGAUUAUUGGGAAAAUCAUGGAACAUUGAGAACGCUCAAUGCCCCCUCAGUGGCCGGAGGCACACGUAAUAUCCAGCGAGAACUAUCAUCAUCUAGAGAGCAGCAACCAUUCGCAAAAUUUCAAAUGCGGUAGAUUUUUUUUCCUCAUUCGUAGUGAGAAUUGAACCCUCGACGAGACGCAUUUGAUGGAAUCAAAAGACACCACAACAGUCACCUCACAGUUAAAGCUAAACUGACUGCAGGAUUGAUGGUAGAAUAGGAGAGCUUCAUGAACUUACCUCUCUGCUACGAGGAUACAGAAACUGGGAUCGGAGCGUUGCCACCGAUGGGCCGGAUCGGUUGAUGACCAUUUUUUUUUCCUUUUUUGCACUUUUACUGAAUGGUUGUAACACAAAUCAGAAUCAGCUGCAAAACGAUUGAGGGAUUUUUUGACAGAAAAAUAAAAAUAUUCACACUCGGAUCUGGAGAAGCGAGAAUUAGUUACGCGAGGGACAUCUUUAAGUGAAGACAAAUCGCCGAGUUCCAUGCUUUCUUUGGCCCAAAACUUCCAUGAGCGAGAGCUUUUUAUUCCUGACUAAAUAAUUAGACUAAGAAAAUUAAAAAAAAAUCAUUUCUGGAAUCCAGCAUUGGAAAAACAAUGGUUUCGUGGUACUAAGGAAAACUUAAAAUUAGUUAAUAAACGUAAGCUCCAAUAAAAAUCCAAAGUGUCGCUAUUGGAAUAAAUUUGAACUUGGGUAUCUUUAAUAAAUUGCAAUGGACUUUUCAUAAGAUCGAUCUGUACAUAUAAACAUAGUU